GGGGGAGUGGCUCAGUUGCUAGAGUCCCUGCCUGGCAAGCAGGAAGCCCUGCACCCAGCUCCUGCA
rfam:Mus musculus chromosome 17, GRC primary reference assembly.